rnacentral:rRNA from 1 species
CCUACGGGAGGCAGCAGUGAGGAAUAUUGGUCAAUGGCCGGGAGGCUGAACCAGCCAAGUCGCGUGAGGGAAGACGGCCCUACGGGUUGUAAACCUCUUUUGUCAGGGAGCAAGGUGCAGGUCGGGACCUGCUGUGAGAGUACCUGAAGAAAAAGCAUCGGCUAACUCCGUGCCAGCAGCCGCGGUAAUACGGAGGAUGCGAGCGUUAUCCGGAUUUAUUGGGUUUAAAGGGUGCGAAGGGGGUGGCACAAGUCAGCGGUAAAAUGGGGGGGCACAACCCAGAUCGGCCGUUGAAACGGUGUCCUUGAGUGCGCGAAGGGUAGGCGGAAUGCGUGGUGUAGCGGUGAAAUGCAUAGAUAUCACGAAGAACUCCGAUCGCGAAGGCAGCCUACCGGCGCGCAACUGACGCUCAUGCACGAAAGCGUGGGUAUCGAACAGGAUUAGAUACCCCGGUAGUC